GACGAACGCUGGCGGCGUGCUUAACACAUGCAAGUCGUACGACAGCAUUUCCUUUUAGGUUGUGUUUGGAGUGGCGAACGGGUGAGUAACACGUGAGUGACCUGCCCUUCACUUUGGGAUAACGUGCGGAAACGUGCGCUAAUACCAAAUAUUCGCAUUUCUGCUGCAUGGUGGGGUGUGGAAAGGGGCCUUCGGGUUCGUGGUGGGGGAGUGGGCGUCGCGGCCUAUCAGCUGUGNGGUGGGGUGGAUGGCCUACCAAGGCGUGGACGGGUAGCCGGCC
rnacentral:rRNA from 1 species